UACAGGGGGUGCAAACGUUGCUCGGAAUUAUUGGGCGUAAAGCGCGCGUAGGCGGAUACUUAUGUCGGAUGUGAAAGCCCCUGGCUUAACCGGGGAAGUGCACCCGAAACUGAGUGUCUUGAGUACGAAAGAGGGUCGCGGAAUUCCCGGUGUAGAGGUGAAAUUCGUAGAUAUCGGGAGGAACAUCGGUGGCGAAGGCGGCGACCUGGGUCGAUACUGACGCUGAGGCGCGAAAGCGUGGGGAGCAAACAGG
rnacentral:rRNA from 1 species